AGCCCGCCUGGUGCAUGAAUGUCUCUAGCCCGCUCAGAAAUGCGUUUGUCACCCUCCCGUCGGAAUCUUUGUGCAAAUACAUCCAACUCCGCAACUCGUAAAUACUACCGCCACCGGCCAUUUUUUCUUAGAUUUUUUUUUCAAAUCUUUUUUUUUUCUGAUUUUUUUCGGAUUUUUUUUCUCCCGUUUGUGUGUUGUGAGGAAGAGAGUUGUGGGAAAUGACAUAUAUAUAGAGAAAUUUUCGAGUUAGGUAGUUGAAA
rnacentral:lncRNA from 1 species